rnacentral:lncRNA from 1 species
UCCUAUUGUGGUAAUUUUCUUCUGUAACAUUUAAGCUUUCUAUGGUUUCACGUGCCAUGGUUGAUUAUGGUUAUUGUUUAUUCACUAUCUUCAGUUGGCUUUAGAGUGAAACUUUAACGAUUCAUUUCAUAGCCUUAUCACACUUCAAAUAAAUGCAACUCCCAUCUUUUUGGACUUUUGAAAUUAUGAUUUUACCUUCUCACAUUCAUAGAUGUUUAGGAGGAAGGUUGAAAACAUCUCUAAAUACGUAUAUUACCUAUUCUCUUUUGGCCCUAAAUCUUAUGAGAAUCCUAAGUCUCAUGAUAUAAAUGAUGUUUUUGAGGAAUAUGUACUCUGAUGCCAACUGUAAUGAUCUAUCUUCUCUAUUGAGAAAAGAGUGUUAUCACACAUAUAUAACUUAAUAAAUAGCACAAAGAUAUGCUAAAAUUUAAAAUUCAAUUAUACAUCUCUUGCACAAAAUUAUAAUUCAUGAGGAUCACAAGUUCUUUAACUACAAUAAAUUUUUAUCUACUUUACAAGAACAAUUUUCCUAAAUUAUAAAAAGAGUCUCCCGAGUCUUCAUUUAACCACGAACUUGCUAUUGGUCUUCCUGAUUUGAAAAUGAUAAAAAGGGAGUGAGUCACCACUUGGUCAGUAAGAAUAAUUUAAUACUCCAAUCCAAAGAUAAGAGAUAAUAUAUUGAUUCGAACCAUUACCUUUACUUCAAGCUUACCAUGCCCUUCAUAACCAUCUGAUUUCCACACCCUCCUAUAACUACAUCGAUCUUACUAAUCACAUGUUUUCACUUUUAUAUACCUCAUUUCAUUUAAAGGAUAUCCAUAAUUUACAUAACUACAUUCUCAUAAAUUACUUUUGGUUUAUUCACAAUCUCAUAAAGGCAAUAUCAUAUUUAUAUUAAUUACACAUAUUCACACAUAUGAUAUUCUUCUAUAAAUUAAUAUCCAUACAUAGAAUAUCAUUCUUUAAACACAUCACACAUAUAAUACAUUUUUUUGAACACAUAUUCACAUAUAUAGUAUCUUUCCUUAAACACGUAGAAUAUCCUAUCUCAUAUACGUAUCCACAUAAUAACAUAUUCUCAUUACUCACCAACAGAACCAAUCACAUAUGCACAAAGACUCAUUAUCGUAUCACACAACAUCAAUCAGUCACAAUCAUGGAAGGAGAUAAUAAUUCACAAUAUCAACAUAGACCAAAUCA